rnacentral:rRNA from 1 species
AGUGAACGCUGGCGGCAGGCCUAACACAUGCAAGUCGAACGGCAGCACAAGAGAGCUUGCUCUCUGGGUGGCGAGUGGCGGACGGGUGAGGAAUGCAUCGGAAUCUGCCCAUUUGUGGGGGAUAACCUCGGGAAACCGGGACUAAUACCGCAUACGACCUACGGGUGAAAGCAGGGGAUCUUCGGACCUUGCGCAGAUGGAUGAGCCGAUGCCGGAUUAGCUAGUUGGAGGGGUAAAGGCCCACCAAGGCGACGAUCCGUAGCUGGUCUGAGAGGAUGAUCAGCCACACUGGGACUGAGACACGGCCCAGACUCCUACGGGAGGCAGCAGUGGGGAAUAUUGGACAAUGGGCGCAAGCCUGAUCCAGCCAUGCCGCGUGUGUGAAGAAGGCCUUCGGGUUGUAAGGCACUUUUGUUGGGAAAGAAAAGCAGCCGGUUAAUACCCGGUUGUCAUGACGGUACCCAAAGAAUAAGCACCGGCUAACUUCGUG